rnacentral:lncRNA from 1 species
UCUAGCUUUGUGAGAUGACAUCCUUAUGUGUAUUAUUAAAAUACUUAGUUUGUGACUGCUAAUUAUCACAAUAAGAAAUGAAUUAACUACCUGAAAAGGACUUCAGACAGCUUAGUAAAUUCUAGUGCAGAUCUUUAAGUGUAUUUCCGCGUUUGUGGUCCACAUACCUUUUCAUUUCUUGCUGUUACUACUUUCCUGACCCAGGUGGGUGCCAUUGAACUCAAUAUCUUUAUUAUGGUUGAUUCAAGAUAAGGAGGGGCCCCUCAGUGUACUUCAGAUAUAAUGACUUGUACAUGGAAAAGCUUCUGCAAAAGAAGGGCAAGAACCCAGGUAACGAUGUCAUCCCCAAACCUGGAGGAUUUGUCCACAGCAUUUUCAUCCUCAGAUGCAUCUGGGAAACACUUGCAUUUUGAAGUCUAAUCACAGAAAUACAGAGAAAGGAUCUUAGAUAAAAUACUUUGGGAGAUUCAACAGUGUUAUCUGCAAAAAAAAAAAAAAAAAAAAAAGAAAAGAAAAGAAAAGAAAAUUAUUCUCUAUCGCAUUAUUUUUUUUUUCUUUUCUUUUUCUUGUUUUGUUUGAGACAAGACCUCACUAUGAGUCCUGUCUGGCCUGGAACUCGUAAUAUAUAUUUGACUGCCCUAAAAUUCAGAGAAAUAUAUCUGUCUCUGUCUCCCUAGUGCUGGGAUUACAAUGUGUGUCAUUAUAUCUGACACAAGUACAAUAUUUUUAAUUUUUGUAUGUGUAUGAAAACGUCUUACGUAGGCUAGUGUGAUUGCUCCGUGUGUUGGGCCCCCAGAAAUCACAUGGUAGAAUGAGUAAAUUAUAUGUAUGAGCCGUUCUCUAACUUCCAUGUGCACAUAAUGGUACAUGCAUACCUACAUGCACAAAAUCAAAACAUAAAAAAGUAGAUGUUGUGCAGAAAUUCAUUAUGUAUACUUAAUCCAUAAUAACAUAUUUAAAUAUAAAAAUAACAAAGAUAUCUUUAUUUUCUUAAGUAUUUUUCAUCCUGGCUUAAGGAAAGCUAUGUGUUCAUAAUGGACCAGCUGGUUUCAUAAGUCUUCAUAAAGUCAAUUCAACCUUACUAUGUUUAUGUAGGAUACAAAUAGUCUGUGGUAUGGCUGUAUUCAGUUUGCAAAAAGCAGUGGUUAUGAUUUCAGUGAAGUUUCAUGAAGAACAACCAGUGAACAUUUGAAUGGAAGUGAUUUCUUUUAAUGUCAAUAUGAUUCCUGUCCAGGAAACCCCCCAAAUGACAUUUUCCAAAUUUGCAAAUGUGCAUUGGAAAAGUGCAGCUAGCUAACAGCUAGCAGCUACCACAGGACUUUAGUAAUGUUCAUUCCAUUCUACAAAAUGUUAUAACAGGUUGUGUGGGCUUAGCUCAGGAAUCAAAGGAAUGUGUCAAAUUUUCAUUCAAACGGAAGUAUGACUGUUGAUUUCUGCGGUGGUAGACAUGCCAAGGCAUCCAAGUACCAGGAUGCUAUCCAAGGCAGGUUUCUGGAGAGGAACAGUCCCUGCUGGGAACUCACUGUCAUCUACAGAAAUUGGAUUGCAUUCUGAACCCCGUGUUCUAAUUUUGAAGUCACAAAUAGCCUAUGCUGACAGUAAAUCCAGACACCAAUGAAAUUAGGAAUACUUUUAGCAUUGUUAAUUCACAUUACUAGAACUGAGAGAAGUAGGUUGAAGGAUUUUAGGGUUUUUUUGUAUUUUAAUUUAUUGUUGAAAUUUUCCUACAUUGUACAUGAUCAUAUUAGUACCCCCAUUUCAGUCUCCAACUAUCCCAAACCUUUACCCUUUUUUACUUCAUAUCCAUGGUUUUAGUUGUUCGUGGUGGUGGGUGUUUUUUUUGUUUUGUUUUGUUUUGUUUUUUUGAUAGUCCAUGGAAUUCAAUUUGUAUAGGGGCUGUCCACUAGAGCAUUGGAUACCUAUCAGUGAUUACAUCCUCAAGAAACAAUGGUGUCUUCUUUCCCAGCAAGUAGUAGCUUCUAGUCGCUCCUUAGUAAGUCAUGGGGCCUGGAGAGUAUCUCUCUCAACUAUUUUGGCUGAAUUAUUCUUGUGUAGUUUAUUACAGAUGCUAUGAGUUCAUGAAUGCAAUUGCCAUGUCAUAGUCAAAAGAUAGGCUUUCAUAACACUUCCCCAUGUCUUCAGGAUUUUAUAUUAUUUCUUCCUCCCCUUCUGAGAUGUUUUCUGAGAUUUGUUGGUGGGGAUGGGUAAGAAAGAUGUCUUAUUUAGGGCAGAGAACCCAAUAUCCUAUUCUCACUUUGACAAGUUCAUUGGUCUCAGUAUUCAGUGUUACCCCACCAGAUAAAAUCUUCAGGGGCCAAGCUAAGAUCAGCAUAAGUGUAUGUAUAGAAGCAUGGUUCUACCUUAAUGCCUAUGAGUCUGUUAGCCAUGGCCUUUUGAUCAGGAGAGCAAUAUGAACUUUAAAUGGAUCACUCUGAAAGUGAUAUAGCGAAAUCAGAGAGGAUCCUUCAAAUGCAGGCACAGGUAAGGACUUUCUGAGUUAGUCUCCUCCAGUAGAACAGCAAACACAACUCACCAAUGACAAAUAAGACCCCAUGAAAAUGAAAAGCUUCUGUGCAGAAAAGAAGAUAAUCAGCUGCAUGAAAAGUCAGCCCACAGGAAGAACUAACAUCCUUGCCAGCUACUCUUCUGCCUGCUGAUUGCUGUCUAGAAU